CAGUCAAAACAAUUUCCAAUUCAACAUGGUCGGUCCUCACAUGAAAACCCUAUUACAGGCUACUGAAACUGGGCAGCGUAUUGUCAGAGAUCUUUCGGUGCUCUGUUCAAGAAUUCCACGUAAGUAAUUACAUGUACCAUUGGUUGGUGUUAUGAAUUUUUAUUAUAGUCCAUUACUUACAGAUUUUGUUUUUAGGUCCUGGUCUACUGCCCAAAUACCUUCUGAUCUACUGAUAAAAUAGGAUAAUCUUCAUAAGAAGAGAAAAGCUAUUGCUGUUGGGAAAAAACCACCUGUUGCUCAAUUGACAUCAGUAGCAAGGAAACAAGCUGAGCUAAAACUUAAAAAAUGGAAAAUAUGACAGCUGAAGAAAUCAAAAGAUGGGAUGCACUACGAAGUGGGAUAUAGUUUGUUAUGACAGUAAUUAUAAUAAGUUUGUUUCAAACUUUUGUUUAUUUUCAGAAAAACAUCCAAACAAGCCCAGGGAAAGGGUUCUAAGUCUGUCGGAAACUCUUCCAUUAACAUCAGCCCUGCAAGACAGCUUACGCCACCAGGUCAAUCAGAGAAGGCUCACAUGAAAUGAAUUCUAGUUCUGCUGAAAAAUAUAAAUAGAACUGCUAUGCAAAGCUUUAGAGAGGCCUAACGGGCAAUGUGAUGCUUCCAGCGAAAAUACGUGCGCUACACAUGAAAAUUCUACUGAUGCACCUGUACCAGAAUGUGACCAGGUUCAGCCCAUCACGAUUCUAUUAGGUCGCGCUUCUCGCCCAAAGAAGCUACCUGCUAAGCUUGCUUCGUUGAAAGCCAAAGUUCAAUCGGGCAGUAAAUACGUUGCAAAGAAUAAAUGUGGAAAUUGCAUCGAUAAAACGCUACCCAAUAAUAAGAGAAAUGGAUUCAGUGUGGCAACUGCAAGCAAUGGUAUUUUAACGUGUAUA